AGUAGGAUGUUUGAGCUAUAGUUAUGGACUAAAUAAAUCUGGGCCCGGGGAGUGGCGUGAGACGGAAUCUGAGGGGGUGUGGGCUGGUUUCUCAGUCUAACACAAACUUUGUUUCCAGGGGGAUGGCAUCCACAUCUGCCAGGAGUGGGGACAAAAAGGACAUCAGGUCAUCUCAAGCUGCCGCCUCCUUAGGUGGAGGGCAGAAACUCUCAUUAUCCCGCUCUGAAGAAUUCCUGUCCCGAAUCAGCACAGAACUUACAGAUGAAGCACUGUUUAUUGCUCGCUCCCAUUUGAGUAUACUGCCCAAUAAGGAAAAGAAUACAAAAGACCAAGGGACUCAGAUAUCUAGACCUGGUGAACUCUCUCCCUCUUCAUCUAGAGACCAGUCCCUGACUCCCUACCAUAGCUGAUCUCCCCAGGAAUCUGCCAAUUUUUUCCCUCCUCCUUGCCCAUCCUAGGCACAGUGCCCCUUACCUUCUAACUCACUCAUUGUCCCUAGCCAGGAAUCCCCUUUUCCCUACCUGCUCUAGCCACAACUCUUUCUAACCGUGGGGAAAGUUGUUCCUUUAACUGGGGCCUCUAAUUCCAGUGUUCUUCACCAAGACCCAAGGCACUGACACCCGGUGAGUGAGGCUCUGUCCUUCUCCCAGGACAGAGGAGCCUGUGGGGAGAGAGCAAGGGUUGACAGCAUCCCAGCAGGGUAGGGGGAGUUUUCAACCAUGAAGUUCUAUUCUAUUCCCUCCUGAUGCUCCACUUCAUGAUUCUCAGCCUAUUCUGUUGUCUUCUGUCAUCUCCAGCUCUGACAAAAAUCGAACCCGAACCAAGGCACACCUUCUGCCAUCUCCUCGUGAAAAGGGACCACUCCCCAACAGCCUGACAACGGGAGGAUGAGCGCAGUCCUCCCUAGUACCGCUCUCUCUUGGCUUCUUGCCUUCCCCCACUAUGUCCCUCAAUGAAAACCUCAAAGCCCCUCUUUUGCAGCUGGCUAAGCCUCUCAUCUUGGGAGGAACUCCUGGUCAUAAGCAAUGCCACCUUUGAAACCAAGAAAAUCUGGAACUGUUGCAGGGCCCUCCACCCUCCCUGGGCAAACGCCACUGAGAAGAAAAGGUUUCAAUAAAGAACCAGGAUGCCCGCUCCCCGAAACGUUGGCAGUGUUCUGGAGUAGCUCCUGGAGAGGGUGUGCCUUUCCUCUAGAGAGACACGGUGCAUGUCAGCAUCUCUCUAAAAUCCAGUUGUCGGGCACCUGCUAGAGCCAAACCCACUGCCUGGUACCUUUUAACUAGCGCUUGCAUCUAGGAGGCCACUUUUGAUGGCCAGGAGAGCCUUUGCCUUGGGUUCUGAGGGCCCUGGGCCUCUGCUUCUCCCUCUGAACUUGUGAGGUCUCGUGAUUAAGAGAACGUGCUGACUUGUUACAGACAGAAGGUGAUGCAGGAAGCCCUAGGGAGUUUGUAUUUCCUGCCCUUGUGUCUCCUCAUUUGUUCCUCUGAGGAAGUCCAUUCACCUAUUUCAACCUUACUUUCCUUAACUGAAAACUGAGUAGCCGGGCAGUGGUGGCACACACACCUUUAAUCCCAGCACUUGGGAGACAGAGGCAGGUGGAUUUCUGAGUUCGAAGCCAGCCUGGUCUACAGAGUGAGUUCCAGGAUAGCCAGGGCUACACAGAGAAACCCUGUCUCCAAAAACCCAAACAAACAAACAAACAAAAAAGAAAAAAAAACAAACAACCCCCAAACUGUAAGUAAUAAAUUAUCCCAGGUUCCCAAGUUUCUUACAAGGAUUAAAAAAACAAUGAAAGGUGGGUUAUCCAUCUUAAUUCUGAAUAAUCGCAGCACUCAGUAGACAGAGGGAGGAAGACUACUUCCAGUUCAUAAUAUCAAGCCAGUGUGGACUACACAGUGAUGUGCUGUCUCAAAAACAGAAGGUAAAAAAAACUAACUACAGUGAACCACAUAGAAUCUUAACCACUCAACAGGCUCCUGCUGGAGGAUCUGGGGUUCAAGACUAACCUGGACACAUAAGGCCCCUUCUCAAAAACAAAAGUAUCCAAUACAAAAGCUGUC
rnacentral:lncRNA from 1 species